CAGUCGCCACGGUAAUACGGAGGAUCCAAGCGUUAUCCGGAAUCAUUGGGUUUAAAGGGUCCGUAGGCGGUCUUGUAAGUCAGUGGUGAAAGCCCAUCGCUCAACGGUGGAACGGCCAUUGAUACUGCAGGACUUGAAUUAUUGGGAAGUAACUAGAAUAUGUAGUGUAGCGGUGAAAUGCUUAGAGAUUACAUGGAAUACCAAUUGCGAAGGCAGGUUACUACCAAUUGAUUGACGCUGAUGGACGAAAGCGUGGGGAGCGAACAGGAUUAGAUACCCCCGUAGUCCCUGUCUCUUAUAC
rnacentral:rRNA from 1 species